GUCGACUGGCUCGCUUCUCAUUCGCCCCCUCGUUCCCCUCUCUGUCUCUCGUCUCCUUUCGCCGCCGCCGUCGCCGACGCUCGCCCUCCUCGAUUCGACGCCGUUCUUCGGUUCAGACGGUGCCGUGCCGUUGGGGUUGCCUUGCCGGUCGACCGGGGAUGGAGCUUAUCGUUUGAGCCUCUGCCCUCCCCGUCGAGGUCGCUCCUCACCAUCGCAGGCACGGUCUGGUCGGGGCCACGACGACGAGAGGAGCAGCAGAGGAUAACUUUUCCCCACGGAUCCUUCUCGUCUUCCACGUGAUUCGAGUCUCCUCUCUCCAUCAGGUUUUGAAGGCGGUUUUGUGUAGAACAGCCACGGAGCAGAAACAACGAACAUGCUGCUUCAGCAACAGCGUAAUGAUCCUGAUGAUACUCUUAUCAUUUUGUUAACGUAAUGUGUGUUCUGUCAAUGCUCGCUCCGGAUGCUAGCUAGACCUACUGGGUAGCAUAGCUAAUUCUUUGCCUAUCUUCACAACAUUCAAGAGCUCUUUAGUCCUGCCAAAGCAAGGUUUCGAUGAUUCCCUCACACAAAAUAUUCAUAUUUGGUCGUGCCUGCAUGAUGCGUGUGUGCAUGAUGGAUGGUCAUGCACUACUGUACUAGCUAGAUAAUAAGCUUGUUUUGCUACUGAAUGAUUGAACGGUGUCUCAGUUUGUACCUCAGUUAGCUCACCGCCUAAAAUUGCGACGGGAUAGGCACUGUUUGGUUCGUGCUCCCAUUCUUGGUGGGCUAAACAUAUUUGUUUGUUUGAUUUGGAGCAGCAGGCGCUUUCCAUCGACAACCGGGACUCCACGCCUAAGCUGUUGAUUACCUCAUUUUAUUCAUCUUCUCCGUAUAUUCAUUCGAUUGCCUGCUACAUUCUUCUUCAUUGCACGGGCAUGCAUCUUGGCUCAUGACCAACCGAAAUUAGUAGUUCACCUGCUUGCUAAAUUUAUUUUUAUGCCUUCUGUUUUGUCGAAUUUUACUGAGUAAGCAACUGGGAGUUGCAUCCAACCUUUGUCGGUUCAGCUUCUCUUUUAUGUUCUGUAGAUAGAUGUUGGUUCAAUGCUGUUAAUUUUGAGCUUCUCUCUUUUAUGUUCUAUAGAUAGGUGUUAGUUGUUCGCAUGUUGUACAAUAGCCAGCUCAACUAUACAUGUCUCCUUUUUUUGAGCCAAUUAAUGUGAUGUAUGAGUCAAAUCAUAUUACUAAUUAUUAUUGUCCGGGUUGAAGAGAAGAAUCUAUGUCAGGGAGAGACUUGCUUUGCAAAACAUGUGUUUUCGUUGAAGACUUGCUUGCUGUGUGCCAUGGCUAUGUGUGAUGCUGAUCAUUGAAUUAUGUACUGCUGAUCAUUGGAUUAUGGUGCCAUGCUUAGGCAUAUUAAGUGUUUGUAUUAGGAUUUUUAAAUAUUCUCAGGUCAUGCUUGUUCUAAGUUUGCUUAGUCAUGUAAAUGAUGGUCUUCCAUUGGCGGAGUGCUUAGAUGGUGGUUAUGUGAAGGAUGUUGUCUUCUACAAGCAGCAAGAAAAAUUGUUGUUCAAAAACAUAUCUAAAGGCCAACAUGAAUCAUCAAGACUGUCAACUGAGUCUGGACCAUACAUCAAUUGCAACGGGUUUUAGGAAUGCAUCACUAUAUUGAUUUUGGUUUAUACAUGAACUGCAGAGAGUUUUAUAAAUGUAUCAUUAUAUUGUUUUGGGUUUAUAUAUGAAUUGCAAAAUGUUUUAGGCAUGUGAAAAUCAGAGCUCAGGCGGCAGGCGAUUUUUUUUCUUGCUUCUAAUGCCAGGAUGAUGUUCUGUAUACUAAAAAGGACUCGUGCACACUUGCUUUGCUCCUUAGUGUUUAUGAUCAGUUGACAAACAUUAUAAUAGGAUAUACACAUUGCUUCAAAACUGAGUAUGUUCCUUGGUGAUGGUGUAUUUAUUAUGAAAAUAAAUAGGACUGCUUACCCAUGGUGAUGUGGUAUUGCUACUCGAUUACUUACCCUGUUUCUGUGACAAAGGCCCGUGAUAGAUAUGGUUAGACACAUAUUGAGCGUCCAAUUUCAUAAAUAUUGAGCAUACAGUUUCAACUUAAACUUAAACAUGAGAUUGUCUUGCUGUCGAGUUGUGUUCAGUUCUUUCCAUGUAGAACUUACUAGAAAUUCUUGCAUACAUCCUAAACAAAUAAAGAGCCGCAUGCAUUUAAAUUAAGCAGUUCCAAAGAAAGAAUUAUUUCAAGUUAUUUUGUUUGGAGAUGAGUUGCCUUUUCUACACCUUUGUGUUAAGGAUGGAGCCUCCACAGUGCCUAUGAGCCAUGCUUUUUCCCACCCAGUAAAAUGGUCUAUUUUCAAGUGGCAUCAUACGGUGAAGGAGGGGAUCUGGAUCAAGAGCCGUAAUGGUGCUUGUGAUGGCAUGUCUAGCACUUGCUCGACCCUGGAGUCUGACUUCUUCUUGCAAGUUGACCAUACUAUUGUGAGCAUCUCAGCCAGGAUCAUUCUUUAUAUCAUGUUGGAUCAUCUUGGAAUUUGUAGAGCCAUUUACCGUCGAAGGAUGUACUCACAGAACAAAUCAGUGUGACUAUGCUUUUCUACACUUCUGUCCAAAGUAAUGGGAUAUGUAUUCUGUACUGUACAGCUACCCUCUAAUGCACUACUCAGCCUUCAAUCUCUGUAUGUACAAAUGACUUGAUCUAAUUAUUAUGAAUGACAUAUGGAGUGUGCUGCUUUCUAUA